UACGUAGGGUGCAAGCGUUAAUCGGAAUUACUGGGCGUAAAGCGUGCGCAGGCGGUUUUGUAAGUCUGUCGUGAAAUCCCCGGGCUCAACCUGGGAAUUGCGAUGGAGACUGCAAGGCUAGAAUCUGGCAGAGGGGGGUAGAAUUCCACGUGUAGCAGUGAAAUGCGUAGAGAUGUGGAGGAACACCGAUGGCGAAGGCAGCCCCCUGGGUCAAGAUUGGCGCUCAUGCACGAAAGCGUGGGGAGCAAACAGG
rnacentral:rRNA from 1 species